rnacentral:rRNA from 1 species
CCUACGGGUGGCAGCAGUGAGGAAUAUUGGUCAAUGGCCGUAAGGCUGAACCAGCCAAGUCGCGUGAAGGAAGAAGGAUCUAUGAUUUGUAAACUUCUUUUAUCGGGGAAUCAAGGUAUCCACGUGUGGAUAUUUGCAUGUACCCUAUGAAUAAGCAUCGGCUAACUCCGUGCCCGCGGCCGCGGUAAUACGGAGGAUGCGAGCCUUAUCCGGAUUUCGUGGGUUUAAAGGGUGCGUAGGCGGAUCGUUAAGUCAGGGGUAAAAUUGAGGGGCUAAACCCCUUCCCGCCAGUGAUACUGGUGCUCUAGAGAGGAAGAGAGGUAUGCGGAAUGCGUGGUGUAGCGGUGAAAUGCAUAGAUAUCACGCAGAACCCCGAUUGCGAAGGCAGCAUGCCGGCUUCCGACUGACGCUGAAGCACGAAAGCGUGGGGAUCGAACAGGAUUAGAUACCCGUGUAGUC